rnacentral:rRNA from 1 species
AUUGAACGCUGGCGGCAGGCCUAACACAUGCAAGUCGAACGAGUGGCGGACGGGUGAGUAAUGUCUGGGAAACUGCCUGAUGGCGGGGGAUAACUACUGGAAACGGUAGCUAAUACCGCAUACCAUCGGAUGUGCCCAGAUGGGAGUAGCUAGUAGGUGGGGUAAUGGCUCACCUAGGCGACGAUCCCUAGCUGGUCUGAGAGGAUGACCAGCCACACGGGAACUGAGACAGGGUCCAGAGUCCUACGGCAGGCAGCAGUGGGGAAUAGUGCACAAUGGGCGCAAGCCUGAGGCAGCCAGGCGGCGUGUGUGAAGAAGGCCUUCGGGUUGUAAAGUACGUUCAGCGGGGAGGCGUUACCCGCAGAAGAAGCACCGGCUAACUCCGUGCCAGCAGCCGCGGUAAUUC